GGUGCUAUACUUUAAUAUAAAAGGUCUGAUUUGCAUUUAGAGAAUGAAAUAUAUAGGUUUCUGGUGCCA
rnacentral:tRNA from 1 species